CCACCAUUGUUGUCAUAGAUAUGAAUGAGUAGAUAGGACACGCCCCUUUGAGCUGCGUGCUACAGCGAGGCUAAGCUAGUGGGGGCAAAGUUUCAGUGCAUUCCGUUGAUGUAGACGGCGUGAAAACGGAAACAACAAGUAUGCCGGCUCACUGUGCUGCAUACAAUUACACACUACGUCGUACGAUUGAGAUAAGGAAACUUGGAAUGACUUUUAAUAGGUUUCCCAGAGACUAUGGGUUGAGGAGGAAUUGGAAGUUUGUUGGCUUAGACCUGGUGUCAUUCCAUCAGUGUUAAACUUCCCGGCUCAUCUUGGAAGAGUACGUACCAGAAAGACCACGACCAAACAGCCUUGAGAUCUUAGGCAGCGUCUCCCUCAGUCGACUUCAUGGAUUUUAUGGAUGGUGGUUAAAGACCUGCUCUUCUAGUGGUCUUCCUUCUAGUCGCUGUAAAAAGUCAGUCCAUCCUGGCUGACUUCAACACCUCUUCAUGACAACUUGUUCUGCCUCUGACCUGGUGGAAAGUCCAGAAACUCGGGAAAACCUGUGGAGACUCGAAGAACUCGUGGAGACUCGAGGAACUCGUGGAGACUUGAGGAAUUCGUGGGGUGGGGGAAGGUGUGGUGGGCGGUGGGGGAGUAGAGGGGGGAGGCCGCCACCCAACUCCCCGCCUACUCUCCGCCCUGACUCCACCCAGACUCCGCCUUGGCUCUGCCCAUGUGGUCAUUUCAGGACUACGAUGCCAAAGGGACGACGAAAUUAUUUCUUUGUAUCUGAUCUGUAGCUCAGUGAGUUAAGGAUUUGCCUAUGGAGCUGCAGGUCGCAGGUUCAAGACCAGACACUUCUUAAAGUUUUUGAAAAUCCUGACAAAGACAAACGAAGAAAAAGGCCGGUGGUGGGUCUUGAACCUGCGACCUUCCGCUUACUAGUCUAUCCUCUUAUCCCCCUGAGCUACUCGCUCAGAUACUAAUUCUUCUUUUUUUUGCGCAUUUAUCAUCUAUUUUUUGUCGUUUUCGAGUUUUUUUUUAACUCGGGUCUCGACUCGACCGUUUUUCUCAGGAGGUGGGACUUCAGCCUUUGUGCUGGAGGGUGGAACCCUCAGUUCCAAGACUUUCCAAAGCCUCCACACCUCCCGAGUCCUCAGGACCUGAGUUUUCACACAGUCUGAGGGCUGAAAUUUUCUAAGUCCCACAGUAGUUCUCUGUUAGAUUGAACUUUCAGACAGUCCAAGGACUGAUAUCUUCCAAGUUCAUGAGUAGUUCUCUGUUAGUUUGAACCUUCAGACAGUCUGAGGACUGAAAUCUUAAAAGUUUCUCAGUACUUCUCUGUUAGUUUGAACCUUCAGACAGUCUGAGGACUGAAGUUUUAAAAGUUUCUCAGUACUUCUCUGUUAGUUUGAACUUUCUGGUUAACAGAAGCCUUAAAACUUGUGACCAUGAGUCUUGAUUUCACAUUUAGACCAUCCAUCUGAGUUCUUCUCAGACCUUCACCUGUGAGUUUUUUAGAAAUCCUCAACAAACUUUGAUUCUCUUCACUGAACAGUAAAGUUUGUGGAGAUCAGAAGGUAACAUUAGUUUGAUCGAUACCUUCAACUACUAGUAGACUUUAUCUGGAAAGCAGUUUUCUGAAAUGAGUUCUUAGUAAAUCUGUCCACAAUCAAACCAAGAACAUAGAAAGAGGAAAUGUUUGAAGAAACAACUUGAUGUUUUCAUUUCAGACUAGAAAACGCUUUAAGACUUUAUCUGUUUUUGCUCUUUUUGAUCGUUUCAUUGUCUCUUCUGUUUAAUUUGAUCUUCUAAAGUUUAACUGGUGUCUUUUCAAAUGAUUUGUCUUUAGUUGGAUUCUUCUUAAACGUUUAGUUUUGCUCUUUUCUCACCUUUUAUUCUUUUCUAAUGUCUGAUUUGAUUUCAAAAUGUUUUGUCUUUUUAAUGUUUGUUGUUUUUUCAAAUGUUUUAUCGGCUUGUUUGAAAAAUUUCCUUUUCUUUCCCAAUGUUUAAUUUUUCGAUUAAAUCUUUAAGGUUUUUCUUUUUAAAUGUUUUACCACCUUUUAAUGUUUAAUUUUCUUUUUAAAUGCUUCAUUGUAUUUUCUGUUUAAUUCCUAUUUAAAGUUUUAUUGUCUUUAAGAUUUAAUUUUCUAAUUAAACAUUUAAUUUUUUAAUUAAAUGUUUUGUAUUUUUCUGAAUGUUUAAUAUUCUUGUUUAAUUGUAUUUUUUAAAUGUUUAAUUAUAUAAAAUAUUUCAUCUUUAAUGUUUAAUAUUUUUGUUUAAAUUUUUUUUGUUUAAUUUCAUAAUUACAUUUUGUAUCUUCUGUUUAAUUAUCUAAUUAAAUAUUUUGUCUAAUAUAAUUUAAUUGUAUUUAAUGUUUAAUUUUCUUUUUUAAAGUUUUAUUGUAUUAAAUUUUUUCCCUUUGAUUUAAUUGCUUUUUGUUAUGUAGUUUAUUUCUUUAAUCUUCUUUUUCUGUCAAGAUUUUAACCCC
ensembl:lncRNA